rnacentral:tRNA from 2 species
UGGGCUAUAGCCAAGCGGUAAGGCAGCGGAUUUUGAUUCCGUCAUUCGUUGGUUCGAAUCCAGCUAGCCCAG